ensembl:lncRNA
CAGUAGGGUGUGAUAGGGAUGGUAACAGCAGCAUGUGGUAGUGAUUCGGUAUUUUAACAGCAGGGUGUGGUAGGGAUGGUAACAGCAGCAUGUGGUAGUGAUUAGGUAUUUUAACAGUAGGGUGUGGUAGGGUUGGUAACAGCAGCAUGUGGUAGGGAUUAGGUAUUUUAACAGUAGGGUGUGGUAGGGAUGGUAACAGCAGCAUGUGGUAGUGAUUCGGUAUUUUAACAGCAGGGUGUGGUAGGGAUGGUAACAGCAGCAUGUGGUAGUGAUUAGGUAUUUUAACAGUAGGGUGUGGUAGGGUUGGUAACAGCAGCAUGUGGUAGGGAUUAGGUAUUUUAACAGUAGGGUGUGGUAUGGAUGGUAACAGCAGGGUGUGGUAGGGAUGGUAACAGCAGCAUGUGGUAGGGAUUAGGGAUUUUAACAGCAGGGUGUGGUAGGGAUGGUAACAGCAGCAUGUGGUAG